rnacentral:rRNA from 1 species
CCUACGGGAGGCUGCAGUGAGGAAUAUUGGUCAAUGGACGAGAGUCUGAACCAGCCAAGUAGCGUGAAGGAUGACUGCCCUAUGGGUUGUAAACUUCUUUUAUAUGGGAAUAAAACGUUCCACGUGUGGGAUUUUGUAUGUACCAUAUGAAUAAGGAUCGGCUAACGCCGUGCCAGCAGCCGCGGUAAUACGGAGGAUCCGAGCGUUAUCCGGAUUUAUUGGGUGUAAAGGGAGCGUAGGUGGAUUGUUAAGUCAGUUGUGAAAGUUUGCGGCUCAACCGUAAAAUUGCAGUUGAAACUGGCAGUCUUGAGUACAGUAGAGGUGGGCGGAAUUCGUGGUGUAGCGGUGAAAUGCUUAGAUAUCACGAAGAACUCCGAUUGCGAAGGCAGUUCACUGGACUGCAACUGACACUGAGGCUCGAAAGUGUGGGUAUCAAACAGGAUUAGAUACCCUUGUAGUC